GAAUCCGUCUUGGAACACCAAAUUUAGGAGAUUCCUAUGAAGCCUUAUGGUAGAAACGGUAAAGUUGAAAUUGCAAGU
rnacentral:tRNA from 1 species